UGGGGAAUAUUGGACAAUGGGCGCAAGCCUGAUCCAGCCAUGCCGCGUGAGUGAUGAAGGCCCUAGGGUUGUAAAGCUCUUUCACCGGGGAAGAUAAUGACGGUAACCGGAGAAGAAGCCCCGGCUAACUUCGUGCCAGCAGCCGCGGUAAUACGAAGGGGGCUAGCGUUGUUCGGAUUUACUGGGCGUAAAGCGCACGUAGGCGGACUUUUAAGUCAGGGGUGAAAUCCCGGGGCUCAACCCCGGAACUGCCUUUGAUACUGGAAGUCUUGAGUAUGGUAGAGGUGGGUGGAAUUCCGAGUGUAGAGGUGAAAUUCGUAGAUAUUCGGAGGAACACCAGUGGCGAAGGCGGCUCACUGGACCAUUACUGACGCUGAGGUGCGAGAGCGUGGGGAGCAAACAGG
rnacentral:rRNA from 1 species